GUACACUCCUGCGGGAGGCAGCAGUGGGGAAUAUUGGACAAUGGGCGCAAGCCUGAUCCAGCCAUGCCGCGUGAGUGAUGAAGGCCCUAGGGUUGUAAAGCUCUUUCACCGGUGAAGAUAAUGACGGUAACCGGAGAAGAAGCCCCGGCUAACUUCGUGCCAGCAGCCGCGGUAAUACGAAGGGGGCUAGCGUUGUUCGGAUUUACUGGGCGUAAAGCGCACGUAGGCGGACUAUUAAGUCAGGGGUGAAAUCCCGGGGCUCAACCCCGGAACUGCCUUUGAUACUGGUAGUCUUGAGUUCGAGAGAUGUGAGUGGAAUUCCGAGUGUAGAGGUGAAAUUCGUAGAUAUUCGGAGGAACACCAGUGGCGAAGGCGGCUCACUGGCUCGAUACUGACGCUGAGGUGCGAAAGCGUGGGGAGCAAACAGGAUUAGAAACCCUGGUAGUCCCAUG
rnacentral:rRNA from 1 species